rnacentral:rRNA from 1 species
UACGUAGGGGGCAAGCGUUAAUCGGAUUUAUUGGGCGUAAAGCGCGCGUAGGCGGCUUUGCAAGUCGGGUGUGAAAUCCCCAGGCUUAACCUGGGAACUGCAUUCGAGACUGCAUUGCUAGAGUAUGGGAGAGGGAAGUGGAAUUUCCGGUGUAGCGGUGAAAUGCGUAGAUAUCGGGAGGAACACCAGUGGCGAAAGCGACUUCCUGGACCAAUACUGACGCUCAUAUGCGAAAGCGUGGGGAGCAAACAGG